rnacentral:rRNA from 1 species
UUCCGUAGGGUGAACNUGCGG